rnacentral:rRNA from 2 species
GGACUACCGGGGUAUCUAAUCCUGUUUGCUCCCCACGCUUUCGCGCCUCAGCGUCAGUAAUGAACCAGGUCGCCGCCUUCGCCACCGGUGUUCUUCCCAAUAUCUACGAAUUUCACCUCUACACUGGGAAUUCCACGACCCUCUUUCACACUCAAGCCUGACUGUAUUAAGCGCAGCCCCCAGGUUGAGCCCAGGAAUUUCACGCCUAACUAAUCAAACCGCCUACGCGCCCUUUACGCCCAGUCAUUCCGAGUAACGCUAGCCCCCUUCGUAUUACCGCGGCUGCUGGCAC